AUAUAUAUGUAUGUAUAUUGAAUGACGCGUUUCGCCCUUCUUCCGUGUUGCGGGUGCGAAUUGCGUCGUUUGCUUUGUGCGCUGUUUCGGGCUGCUGCGACGUCAUUUCGAGGGUUGCUACCCCCAUUACGCUUGAUCCUGCAGAUAGAGAGACAUACAAAAAGAGAGAGAGAGAGAGAGAAAACGAGCUGGAGAGCACAGGUAAAGAGCGCUUUCCUUUGUCCUUUGCGUACUGUACUGAGAUUUUGAGUGAAAAUUUUCACUCCCUCUCUCACUCUCUCCCUCUAUCGUUCGCUUCUCUCUUUGUUUUUUGUGAGUCGAACUGACCUACGCCGUAUGCAAUUCGUGGUUGCUAUUUCGUCAUUGCUCCAGGAGUCGCAUUUUGAUACCCGGAACAAAGACACAAAGGCGACGCGGAAAUAUUCCCAUGCUACCCCAAAACAUGGAAACCGGAACAAAGAAAUUUGAUUUGACGCGUUUCGGUUGGAAAAAUGUGAAAACACUCAACUCAAACAUGAUGUGCUGUCCCUAUGCUAUCUACAAACUAAAUUUAUACUAACCUGAUGGGUCAAGAUAAAUGAUUUCUGGAUGGAAUUCAAAGUGUUUGUAUGGGAAGACAAAUAAUAUCGUUUUGCUGCCAUAAAAGGACUUCACACUUCUUAUCAUUUUUUAUUAUAGUCUUGCAUUUAUUUAAUUUUAUUGUUAUUUUUAUUUUUGGUCUGGUUAUCUUGGUUGGCUAUCUCAAUAUGGAUAUGGCCAAAAAGACGACUCAAUAGGGGCCAGAGAGUAGAGAAACCUGUCAUACCAGUAAGCUGGUUCUUUGGCGACGAACACGAAAAUGUUAACGGUCAUUCACCAGGGCGAAGAGCGAGACAGAGAGACGGAGAGAGAAGCGAAGUGAAGUGAAGUGAAGCGAAGCGAGAAGCUAAACAAUACGAAAAGAAAACAAUGCCCAGGUCUACACAAUUAUUUAUUAUACGAUCUGCUGCUGCUGUUGCUUCUUCUUCUUGUGCUUCUCCUUCUUUUUCAUUUCGUUUCUUUUGACUGGAAUUUUUGUUCGAUUCCGCUUUGUCAGAACUUCGAGAAAAAAAAAAAGAAA